rnacentral:piRNA from 1 species
UUGGCCAAUCAGAUGGUGCUUUCUUCAGGCC